UGCUCCCAGCCGUUAAGAGAUCAGAGUUGAUCGGUGGCUGUCCAGGCCUUUCAGAGACACUGACACGCCGGCAGCACAAUGAUGAUGUCACUGAUUCUACUGCUGGUCACCCUGGGGCUCCUUGUUCAGGAUUCAUCAGGAGAUAUCAUCCUGACUCAGUCUCCUGCAUCUCAGUCUGUUGUUCCAGGUCAGACUGUCUCUAUCAGAUGUAAAGCCAGUUCAACUGCCAGUACAUACCUUCACUGGUACCUCCAGAAACCUGAUGAACCUCCCAAACUCUUGAUUUAUGAUGCUACUAAUCGUCAGUCUGGAGUUUCAGGUCGUUUUAGUGGAAGUGGAUCUGGGACUGCCUUCACUCUGAGCAUCAGUGGAGUUCAGACUGAAGAUGCAGGAGAUUAUUACUGUCAGCAGUGUAACAGUUGGCCGUUGACUUUUGGUGGAGGAACCAGACUGGAUGUUGGAAGUGAUGUCCGUCCCACCCUGAUGGUUCUGCCCCCCUCCGGAGAAGAGCUGCAGCAGGGGAUGGCCACGCUCAUGUGCCUGGCCAACAAGGGCUUCCCCUCAGACUGGAGUCUGGCCUGGAAGGUGGACGGCAGCAGCAGCAUCAGCUGGGAGAAGAGCAGCAGCCCCGGGGUGCUGGAGAAGGACGGCCACUACAGCUGGAGCAGCACCCUGAGGCUCCCUGCAGACCAGUGGAGGAAGGUGGGCUCUGUGACCUGUGAGGCCACCCAGGGCUCCCAGACUGUGUUCUCAGAGACACUGAGGAGAGACCAGUGCUCCCAGUCCUGACCGGACUCACUGGGACUCUGCUACUGGUGUUACUCUGAUACUGCUCUCAGUCUGCACUCUGUUAUACUCUCUCUCUUUCUUUCCGUCAUCUGACUAUUUGAACAUAAUAAACUUCAAAUAGAUCUUUUUUUGUUCUAAUAAUAUGUAUGCCAUUAAUGCUGUAAGACAAUAAAGCAAAUUCAAAUAAGAAAUAUGUUUGUAUCGAAA